UGAAGUGUUGGUAACACAACAUGGAGGACCGAACUCAUUGAUGUUGAAAAAUCUCGGGAUGAGCUGUGGUUAGUCCGGUGAAAUGCCAAUCGAACGCAGAGAUAGCUGGUUCUCCCCGAAAUGCAUUUGGGUGCAGCGUUAUGCGUUUUUAUACGGGGGUAGAGCACUGAAUGGGCUAGGGGGCCUACCAGCUUACUGAACCCAACCAAACUCCGAAUACCGUAUAAUUAGCAUAGCAGUGAGACUACGAGGGAUAAGCUCCGUGGUCAAAAGGAAAACAGUCCAGAUCGUCAGCUAAGGGCCCUAAACAUAGACUAAGUGUGAAACGAUGUGAAAUCGCGUAAACAGCCAGGAGGUUGGCUUAGAAGCAGCCACCCUUUAAAAAGUGCGUAAUAGCUUACUGGCCGAAUGUGAUUUUGCGCGGAAAAUGUAAGGGGGCUAAAGUCUAUUCCCGAAGCUACGGGAUCCCGCAUGAGCGGUGAUCGGUAGGGGAGCGUCCUGUUCAGCAGUGAAGCUAGAGCGUAAGCACUGGUGGAGCGGAUAGGAGCGAGAAUGCAGGCAUGAGUAGCGAUUAUUGGGGUGAGAAUCCCCAACGCCGAAAACCUAAGGUUUCUCCGGCUAUGUUCGUCAGACGGAGGUUAGGCGGUCCCUAAGGCGAGGCCAGAAGGCGUAGCCGAUGGACAUCCGGUUGAAAUUCCGGACCUUGGUGCAGUAGUGAUGGAGGGACGCUUCUUGAUGUUUCAUCCCACACCGUUGGUUGUUGUGGGCUACCGGGAUAACCCAGCUGUUUAAUAGAUGGCUUUUCAAAGGGUGGGGCCGGGGGGAAGGGAUUGCUUCGGCAUGAACGAACUGGGACUGAGGGGGGCCGAGAAAAGCUUCUAAACUUAUACUGCAUCAAACCGUACUGCAAACCGACACAGGUAGGUGAGUCGAGGAGACUAAGGCGUUCGAGAGAACUCUCGUUAAGGAACUAGGCAAACGAGCCCCGUAACUUUGGAAGAAGGGGCGCCUCGAAAGAGGCCGCAGCGAAGCAGCCCAGGCGACUGUUUACCAAAAACACAGGUCUCUGCUAAGACGAAAGUCGAUGUAUAGGGGCUGACGCCUGCCCAAUGCCAGUCCAUUAAGCGGAGAUGUCAGGAGCAAUCUGAAGCAUUGAAGUGAAGUGCUGGUGAAUGGCGGCCGUAACUCUAACGGUCCUAAGGUAGGAAUAUGCACUGCCUUAGUAAAAUCUAGCUAUAUGCUGGAAAGUCUGAGUAUCUCUGGUUACGAGUUGAUCAACGGGUCAGCCGUGAAAAUAUCAGAGUGCAGAUAAUCAGCAGGAAAGAUCCCGAUCCGUCGGGAAAUCCUCAGAGGCCAUACGCUAGAUAUUCGGAAAGUCAAAGUUCAUUCCGAAUAAAGAGAUGGUCCCAUCUGCAUGGCGACAUGCAGGGAUGAUUCAGCUCAAAACAGAAUCAUCCGCUCGAAGCCGAAAAGGCAAAGAGUAAGACAUUGAGCGAAAUUCCUUGUCGGCUAAAUACCGACCCGCAUGAAAGGCGUAACGACUUGGGCACUGUCUCAACGAGAAGCUCGGUGAAAUUGUAGCACCCGUGAAGAUGCGGGUUCCGCGCAGUAGGACGGAAAGACCCCGUGGAGCUUUACUACACCUUCAGAUUGUAAGCUGGUUGUAGAUGUAGAGCGUAGGUGGGAGCCUCGGCACCAAUGGAACACCACCCUUUUACAUCUGGUUUACUAACCCGCACCGUUAUCCGGUGUGGAGACAUUCUGUGGCGGGUAGUUUGACUGGGGCGGUCGCCUCCCAAAAGGUAACGGAGGCGUACAAAGGCACACUCAGCCUGGUCGGAAAUCAGGCGUCGAGCGUAUAGGUAUAUAGUGUGCUUGACUGUGAGACCAACAAGUCGAGCAGGGACGAAAGUCGGUCUAAGUGACCCUCUGGUGGUGCGUGGGCACGCCAGGGUUCAUCGGAUAAAAGCUACCCCGGGGAUAACAGGCUGAUCUUGCCCGAGCGCUCACAGCGACGGCAUGGUUUGGCACCUCGAUGUCGGCUCGUCUCAUCCUGGGGCUGUACACGGUCCCAAGGGUUCCGGAGUUCACGGAUUAAAGAGGCACGCGAGCUGGGUUCAGAACGGCGUGAGCCAGUUCGGUCCCUAUCCACUGCGCGCGUAGGAUAUUUGAGGGGAGUCGUUCUUAGUACGAGAGGACCGGAAUGAACCGACCUCUGGUGUACCAGUUGUCCCGCCAGGGGCAUACGCUGGGUAGCCACGUCGGGCAGCGAUAAGCGCUGAAAGCAUCUAAGCGCCAAGCGCACCCCAAGAUUAGAUAUCCCAUCUAUGAGUAAGGUCCCUAGAAGAUCACUAGGAGAUAGGCCGCGUGUGUAAGCACAGCAAUGUGUUGAGCUGAGCGGUACUAAUUGACCGAGGGCUUAAAAAU
rnacentral:rRNA from 1 species